AUGAAAGCUUGCUCGGCCCCAGGGCCGGAUGGCCUCCCGGUAGUCUUUUUCUAGAAAUUCUGGGAGAUCUUAGGUCCAGUCAUUAUGCCCAUGUUUCAUGAGUUCUAUAUUGGAACUUUGGACAUGGUGAGGAUUAACUAUGGUGUCAUAUCCCUGAUCACCAAAGUAGUUGGGGCGACGGAUAUUCGGCAAUUCCGCUUCAUCACGGUGAUCAACGUGUUGGAGCGAAGGUUUGCACAACUCGUUUAUCCCUGGUGGUGGAAAGAAUUGCUCACCCCCUUCAGUCCGUGUUCUUGA
rnacentral:rRNA from 1 species